UACAGAGGUCCCGAGCGUUGUUCGGAUUCACUGGGCGUAAAGGGCGCGCAGGUGGGUUUGCAAGUUCGAUGUGAAAGCCCCGGGCUUAACCCGGGAAUGGCAUUGGAUACUGCAGAUCUGGAGGAUCGGAGGGGGGACUGGAAUUCUUGGUGUAGCAGUGAAAUGCGUAGAUAUCAAGAGGAACACCAGUGGCGAAGGCGAGUCCCUGGACGAUACCUGACACUGAGGCACGAAAGCGUGGGGAGCAAACAGG
rnacentral:rRNA from 1 species